rnacentral:rRNA from 2 species
AGAGUUUGAUCCUGGCUCAGGAUGAACGCUAGCGGCAGGCUUAACACAUGCAAGUCGAGGGGCAGCAUAAUGGAUAGCAAUAUCUAUGGUGGCGACCGGCGCACGGGUGCGUAACGCGUAUGCAACCUACCUUUAACAGGGGGAUAACACUGAGAAAUUGGUACUAAUACCCCAUAAUAUCAUAGAAGGCAUCUUUUAUGGUUGAAAAUUCCGAUGGUUAGAGAUGGGCAUGCGUUGUAUUAGCUAGUUGGUGGGGUAACGGCUCACCAAGGCGACGAUACAUAGGGGGACUGAGAGGUUAACCCCCCACACUGGUACUGAGACACGGACCAGACUCCUACGGGAGGCAGCAGUGAGGAAUAUUGGUCAAUGGACGCAAGUCUGAACCAGCCAUGCCGCGUGCAGGAUGACGGCUCUAUGAGUUGUAAACUGCUUUUGUACGAGGGUAAACGCAGAUACGUGUAUCUGUCUGAAAGUAUCGUACGAAUAAGGAUCGGCUAACUCCGUGCCAGCAGCCGCGGUAAUACGGAGGAUCCGAGCGUUAUCCGGAUUUAUUGGGUUUAAAGGGUGCGUAGGCGGUUUGAUAAGUUAGAGGUGAAAUUUCGGGGCUCAACCCUGAACGUGCCUCUAAUACUGUUGAGCUAGAGAGUAGUUGCGGUAGGCGGAAUGUAUGGUGUAGCGGUGAAAUGCUUAGAGAUCAUACAGAACACCGAUUGCGAAGGCAGCUUACCAAACUAUAUCUGACGUUGAGGCACGAAAGCGUGGGGAGCAAACAGGAUUAGAUACCCUGGUAGUCCACGCAGUAAACGAUGAUAACUCGUUGUCGGCGAUACACAGUCGGUGACUAAGCGAAAGCGAUAAGUUAUCCACCUGGGGAGUACGUUCGCAAGAAUGAAACUCAAAGGAAUUGACGGGGGCCCGCACAAGCGGAGGAACAUGUG